UAUAUGAUAAACUCGUGUGAAUUGCAGAAUCCCGUGAACCAUCGAGUCUUUGAACGCAAGUUGCGCCCGAAGCCAUCCGGUUGAGGGCACGUCUGCCUGGGCGUC
rnacentral:rRNA from 1 species